rnacentral:rRNA from 1 species
AGAAUGAACGCUGGCGGCGUGCUUUACACAUGCAAGUCGAGCGAGGCGGGUAGCAAUACCCAGUCGAGCGGCGAACGGGUGAGUAACACGUGGAUCAUCUACCUUCAGGUGGGGGAUAACCCGGGGAAACUCGGGCUAAUACCGCAUAACAUCGCAAGAUCGAAAGGGGCGCAAGUCCCGCCAGAAGAGGAGUCCGCGUUCGAUUAGCUAGUUGGUAGGGUAAUGGCCUACCAAGGCCACGAUCGAAUAGCCGGCCUGAGAGGGUGAGUCGGCCGACACUGGAACUGAGACACGGUCCGAGACUCCGUACGGGAGC